CUAAUGUGUGUAUGGUGUGUAACACACUGCUAUGUGUUUGACACACACAGCCCUGUUAGUUUAUAUUAAUGUGUGUAAGGUGUGUAACACACUGCUAUGUGUUUGACACGCACAGCCCUGUUAGUUUUUAUUAAUGUGUGUAAGGUGUUUGUGUCCCUCUCUCUGCAGGCUGUCAGGCUGUAGAGUCACACAGAGAGGCUGUGAUUCUCUGGCUUCAGCUCUGUGUUCAAACCCCUCACACCUGAGAGAGCUGGACCUGAGAUACAAUCACCCAGGAGACUCAGGAGUGAGAGCGCUGUCUGCUGCUAAACUGGACACACUCACACUGCUUGUGGACCAUGGAGGAGAGAACAGGACCAAACCUGGACCCAGGAAAUACGGCUGUCAGCUCACACUGGAUCCAAACACAGCGCACAGAGAGCUGUCUCUGUCUGAGGGGAACAGGAAGGUGACACAGAAAUGGUGGGAAAAGCAGCCAUAUCCUGAUCAUCCAGAGAGAUUUGAGCAGUGUGAGCAGGUUGUGUGCAGAGAGAGUGUGUGUGAGCGCUGUUACUGGGAGGCUGAGUGCAGUAUGUCUGAGUGGGGAGAGGUUUAUAUAGCAGUGACUGAUAAAGGAAUCAGCAGGAAAGGAGGGGGUUCUGACUGUAGGUUUGGAUACAAUAAAAACUCCUGGAGUCUGAGGUGCUCUAAACUCAGUGACUCUGAUAAACUCAGUUUCUCUGUCAGGCACAAUGAGAACCAAACACACAUACCUGCCCUCACCUCCCCCUACCGCAGAGCAGGAAUGUAUUAUGGUGCUGGUACAGGAGUGUGUGUGUACAGGGUAGGAGUGUGUGUGGACCGUCCGGCCGGCACUCUGUCCUUCUACAGCGUCUCUGACUCUGACACACUGACCCUCCUGCACAGAUUCCACACACACUUCACUCAACACUCACCCCUCUGUGCUGGAUUUUAUGUGAGGAACUCCUCCUCAGUGUCCCUCUGCUAACUGGAGUAGAGACACACACACACACACACACACAUAUACACAUUCACACACACACGCACGCACACACAAACAUCCACACACACGCACAUGCACGCACACGCAAACAUGCACGUGCACACACGCAUACACACACACGCGUGCGCUCGCAUGCAUGCACACACACACACACACACACUCACGUACACACACACACACACCACAUUCACGUACCCACACACACACACACACACACCACACACACUCACACAUACACACUCAGAUACACAUAGACACUCACACCCACACCUACACACACACACAUCCACACACACACACAUACUCUCACACACCCUUUCCUCAUCCACAUGCACACACACAUCACAACACCCGCGCACACACACACGCUUUCUCACACCCAAUCACUCACACCCCCAAUCACACACAUACACACACCUACACACGGACACACACAAUCUCUCGCACACACAAACACACACAUGCAUGCAUACAUACACACGCUCAUAACCGUAUGCACACACACUCUCUCUCUCUCAUACUCAGUCACUCACACACACACACCCCCCUCUCUCACACACACACACGCUCACAUCCACACACAUUCACACAAAUGCACGCACACACACACACAAACUCAUGCACUCACGCACACACACAUACAUGCGUGCAGAGACACAAACACGUGUCAACACACACACUCCUCAGUGUCCCUCUGCUAACUGGAGUAGAGACACACACACAUGCGCGCACACACAAACAUGCACACACACACACACGUGCGCAUACACACUCGAACACAUGCACACACACACAUACACAUAUAUAUACACACACUCAUAUACACAUACACACACACACACUCAAUCACACACAUAUAUAAACACAAACACUCAUAUACACCUAGACCCUCACACACCCACACACACACACACACACAUAUAUAGAGAAACACUCACACACUUAUAUACACACACACUCAUAUACACAUACACACACACACACUCACACAUAUAUAUACAUACACUCAUAUACACCUAGACCCACAUAAUCGCACUCACACACCUACACACACUCUCGCACACCCAGUUACACACACACACACCGUCUCUCUCUCACAUACACUCCAUCACACACACCCUUUCUCUCUCAGUCAUGUACAAGCACUCACAAAUACACACACUCAUGUUUACUCAUGCACACGCACUCACAUACCUACGCACACACACUCUCUCACACCCAGUCACUCACACACACCUACACACGGACACACACAAUCUCACGCGCACACACACACACACGCAUGCAAACAUACACACGCUCAUACCCGUAUGCAUACACACACACUCUUUCUCUCACUCACACUCUCACAUACAGUAUACAGACACACACAUGCGCAAAGGCACGCGCACACACACACACUCAUGCACUCACGCACGAACACAAACAUGUCAACACACACACAUUCUCAUUCCCAUACGUACGCACACACACACACACAUUCUCUUACCCACACGCACACACACACAUACUCAUGCACACACACAUGCAUACACAUAUAUGUGUGUACACACCAUAUACACAUGUAUACACAAACAUUCUCAUACACAUACAUACACACACACACGUAUAAACACACACAAAUUCACAAUGGCACUCUCACACACACACACAUACACAUACAUACACUCAUUCUCUUGCACGCACACACACUCAAAUACACAGUCACACACACAUUCACACAAACGCACGCACACACACUUUCUCUUACCCAUACACACACGCACCGGUGUGCACACAUACUCAUGCAGUCAAUCAUACUCACACAUGCACACACACAUACAUGCGUGCACACACAUUCUCUUACCCAUUCACACACGCAACCCGGGCACACACACACACACACUCAUACUCACGCACUCACACACAUGUUCACAUCAACAGUCACUCCCGCAAACGUACGCAUGCAUGCACACACAUUCACAAAUACACCCACACAAACACACUCUCACCCAAUCACACACACGUCGACACACUUGCAACCUUCCUUGACCAAUGCCUUACUGCAAUUUCAGCUGUGCCCAAUAUUAGCCUCAGUACAGCUUCAACCCUGUACAUGAGAGUAUGAUCUUUUAGCAGGUAUAGGUGAAGCACUCGCAAUUUAAAUAUGAUUUUAUUUUUUUACAUUUUAAUAAAUGUAUAUUUCAAAUGUUCAAGGUGUGUUCAUGUAUUUUUGAUUAUUAAAACAUUAAUAUAACAUUGAGAGUAAUAAUGCCAAAAGAUGGCAGAGUAAAAUGUUUUUAAUUCUGUCUCCUGUAUCUGCAUCUUUUUUAGAAGAAGCCAGUGGCAAACUCCUCCACUUAAAUGUGCAUUUUACUAGUUUUUACUGUUGCUUUCAUUCAUUUUCACAAGAGUUCCAAUGUGCAGAUUUCUGUGGGCAAAUGCAGCUGAUAGGGAGAAUGCAGAAUGAUCACUGCAGUGUACUUAUUUCCUUCCAUUACUGUAAACAAUGAUGGAUUGAGUUUCCUUAUUUAUUCUGUUAGGAUUGAUUUAUUUAUUUUAUUUUUUGUUGCUUUAAUUUUUUG